GACGAACGCUGGCGGCGUGCUUAACACAUGCAAGUCGAACGGAAAGGCCCUGCUUUUGUGGGGUGCCCGAGUGGCGAACGGGUGAGUAACACGUGAGUAACCUGCCCUUGACUUUGGGAUAACUUCAGGAAGCUGGGGCUAAUACCGGAUAGGAGCUCCUGCUGCAUGGUGGGGGUUGGAAAGUUUCGGCGGUUGGGGAUGGACUCGCGGCUUAUCAGUUUGUUGGUGGGGUAGUGGCUUACCAAGGCUUUGACGGGUAGCCGGCCUGGGAGGGUGACCGGCCACAUUGGGACUGAGAUACGGCCCAGACUCCUACGGGAGGCAGCAGUGGGGAAUAUUGCACAAUGGGCGGAAGCCUGAUGCAGCAACGCCGCGUGCGGGAUGACGGCCUUCGGGUUGUAAACCGCUUUCGCCUGUGACGAAGCGUGAGUGACGGUAAUGGGUAAAGAAGCACCGGCUAACUACGUG
rnacentral:rRNA from 1 species